rnacentral:rRNA from 1 species
AUUGAACGCUGGCGGCAGGCCUAACACAUGCAAGUCGAACGGUAACAGGAAGAAGCUUGCUUCUUUGCUGACGAGUGGCGGACGGGUGAGUAAUGUCUGGGAAACUGCCUGAUGGGGGGGGAUAACUACUGGAAACGGUAGCUAAUACCGCAUAACGUCGCAAGACCAAAGAGGGGGACCUUCGGGCCUCUUGCCAUCGGAUGUGCCCAGAUGGGAUUAGCUAGUAGGUGGGGUAACGGCUCACCUAGGCGACGAUCCCUAGCUGGUCUGAGAGGAUGACCAGCCACACUGGAACUGAGACACGGUCCAGACUCCUACGGGAGGCAGCAGUGGGGAAUAUUGCACAAAGGGCGCAAGCCUGAUGCAGCCAUGCCGCGUGUAUGAAGAAGGCCUUCGGGUUGUAAAGUACUUUCAGCGGGGAGGAAGGGAGUAAAGUUAAUACCUUUGCUCAUUGACGUUACCCGCAGAAGAAGCACCGGCUAACUCCGUG